rnacentral:rRNA from 1 species
AUUGAACGCUGGCGGCAGGCCUAACACAUGCAAGUCGAACGAAUGGCGGACGGGGGAGUAAUGUCUGGAAAAAUGCCUGAUGGAGGGGGAUAACUAGUGGAAACGGUAGCUAAUACAGCAUACCAUCAGAUGUGCCCAGAUGGGAUUAGCUAGUUGGUGGGGUAAAGGCUCACCAAGGCGACGAUCCCGAGCUGGACUGAGAGGAUGACCAGCCACACUGGAACUGAGACACGGCCCAGACUCCUACGGGAGGCAGCAGUGGGGAAUAUUGCGCAAUGGGCGCAAGCCUGAUGGAGCCAUGCCGCGUGUAUGAAGAAGGCCUUCGGGUUGUAAAGUACUUUCAGCGGGGAGGCGUUACCCGCAGAAGAAGCACCGGCUAACUCCGUGUCAGCCGCCGCGGUAAUAC